CGGCAACGCUUUUGCCGAAAGGGACCUUCAAAUUGGAAAAUUUAGAACGACAAAGCGACAGUCUAAAGUAAAGCGGAACAGCAAAUUAGGAGGAGCCGCCGGUCUUUCUCUUGAAGCUUUCAUUAAUGCCAAAUCCAACACCUCCUCCUGCUCCUCCUCCAAUCCUGCCCUUAUAAAGAAGCGAAGGGAGUUUUAUGAGAAUGCUAAGUACGUGAGCAAGUUUAAGAAGAAGCUGAAGCAGCAAAAUCAGCCAAAUGAGCUUUCCUCAGCUGUAAGAUCCUCAGGCUGAGAUAGAAAAAUGGAUAAGGCAGUAAGAUGAUAAAAAAGAAUUAGAGGGGCAAGAACACUUUGAAAGAAUUUAUGAGAAAUGGUCUGAAGAGGAAGAGAAGGCAAGGAUUGAAAGAGAGGUGAUUCUAAAAGCAAAGAAGGAAGAAAGAGAGAAUGCUGAAUCCUGUAGAAAAGCUGCGAGGAAGAAGACGUUCAAGAAUACCUGUCAUGGUCAGCUUGUUUUGAAGUACUGGAUUGAGCAUCUCUCGCAGACAGUUCAAGGUUCCAUUGGAAAAUCAAUUAACAAAGAUUUAUAGUUUAGAACCGACAUGUAUUCCAGUUUUUCCAUGGCCACUUGUACCAUCCUUGCUCACUUGAGUAAAUAACCGGUUAAGUUUCUGAGUAAUUGGUGUUAUUGCUUGAGAUGUUGCAUUUUGGAUUGUUGAAAGAACUUUGAUAGUGUAAUGAAAAACAAUUUUGAUGUUCA